rnacentral:rRNA from 1 species
GAUGGCGUGCCUUUUGUAGAAUGAACCGGCGAGUUACUGUAUGGAGCGAGGUUAAGCAGGAUAUGCGGAGCCGAAGCGAAAGCGAGUCUUAAGAGGGCGAAAGUUGCAUGCAGUAGACCCGAAACCGGGUGAUCUAGCCAUGACCAGGUUGAAGUUGGGGUAAAACCCGAUGGAGGACCGAACCGACCCCCGUUGAAACGUUGGCGGAUGAGUUGUGGCUAGGGGUGAAAUUCCAAUCGAACCCGGAGAUAGCUGGUUCUCCCCGAAAUAGCUUUAGGGCUAGCGUCGAGAGAGAGGUGCGUGAAGGUAGAGCACUGAAUAUGUGAUGGCCCCAUCUCGGGGUACUGAGCAUAAUCAAACUGCGAAUGUCACGGAAACAUACUCGGCAGUCAGACAGCGGGUGAUAAGGUCCGUUGUCAAGAGGGAAACAGCCCAGACCAUCAGCUAAGGUCCCAAAAUGUAUGCUAAGUGGAAAAGGAUGUGGAGAUGUACAGACAACUAGGAGGUUGGCUCAGAAGCAGCCAUCCUUUAAAGAGUGCGUAACAGCUCACUAGUCGAAUGACUCUGCGCCGAUAAUUUACCGGGGCUAAGCAUACUACCGAAGCUAUGGAUCCCAAGGGAUGGUAGGGGAGCGUUCCAUGAACGGAGAAGCGCGAUCGAGAGGACGCGUGGAGAUCAUGGAAGAGAGAAUGCCGGUGUGAGUAGCGGAACGUGGGUGAGAAUCCCACGCACCGAAAACCCAAGGUUUCCAGAGGAAGGUUCGUCCGCUCUGGGUAAGUCGGGACCUAAGGCGAGGCCGAGAGGCGUAGUCGAUGGACAACAGGUAGAGAUUCCUGUACUCAUAUAUAUGUGAAGGAAUGACGGAGAGAGGAAGCUGCAGCCAGCGGCUGGAAGAGCUGGUGCAAGCGAGAUAUCGGGAUGGCAGGCAAAUCCACCAUCCGAAACGAGAAGGCGUGAAGCGUACGGAAAGCUAAGGCGAGUACGGAAGGCAGUGGAGGAGCUUCCAAGAAAAGUUUCUAACGAAAGUAUAUGUGACCCGUACCGAAAAUGGACACACAUGGGUGAGGAGAGAAUCCUAAGGUGAGCGAGAGAACUAUAGCUAAGGAACUCUGCAAAAUGACUCCGUAACUUAGGGAGAAGGAGUGCUCAUAGAGAUAUGAGCCGCAGUGAAACGGCCCAAGCGACUGUUUACCAAAAACACAGCUCUCUGCUAAGCCGCAAGGCGAAGUAUAGGGGGUGACGCCUGCCCGGUGCUGGAAGGUUAAGGGGAGGGGUUAACGCAAGUGAAGCCCUGAACUAAAGCCCCAGUAAACGGCGGCCGUAACUAUAACGGUCCUAAGGUAGCGAAAUUCCUUGUCAGGUAAGUUCUGACCCGCACGAAAGGCGUAACGAUUUGGGCGCUGUCUCAGCUGUAGACUCGGUGAAGUCUUAGUACCUGUGAAGAUGCAGGUUACCCGCGACUAGACGGAAAGACCCCAUGGAGCUUCACUGCAGGUUGAUAUUGGGAUUUGAUGCAGCAUGUACAGGAUAGGUAGGAGGCAAAGAGAUGGAUACGCCAGUAUUCAAGGAGCCGCUGUUGGGAUACUACCCCUGUUGUAUUGGAUUUCUAACCGGACGACGUAAAGCCGUUGACGGGACAGUGUCAGUCGGGCAGUUUGACUGGGGCGGUCGCCUCCCAAAGAGUAACGGAGGCGCCCAAAGAUACCCUCAGCUUGGAUGGAAACCAAGCGCAGAGUGCAAAGGCAAAAGGGUGUUUGACUGCGAGACCUACAAGUCGAGCAGGGACGAAAGUCGGGCUUAGUGAUCCGGCG